GUAAUGGCAGGUCAGCAUACUGCCGUGAAUACGUUCCCGGGCCUUGUACACACCGCCCGUCACACCAUGAGAGUUGGGGAUACCCGAAGCCUGUGAGCUAACUUUUAGAGGCAGCAGUCGAAGGUAGAAUCAAUGAUUGGGGUGAAGUCGUAACAAGGUAAC
rnacentral:rRNA from 1 species